UUUGACUAACCCUCCUCCCACCCCCCUUCUCCAUCAUCCCUUCCUCUGACUACACUUUGUUUUCAUGUAUUUUAGACAGAAAAUGGGCCUCCUGCUGCUGCAAGUGAACUCCAGACAUGUACCACUAUGUAGCUGGCUUUAUAUCAGCAUUGGGAAAUGGAACCCAGGCCAACAGACUUUGUGUGCUGGGCAUCAAAGUGAGGACAUGCUGCUCUGGGACCCCAGUGGCAAGAUUGCCCAUAAGAAGCCCCUGUCUGACCGCAUGACCAUCGUGGAACCCAAAGAUGAGAUCCUUCCCACAGCUCCCUUCUCAGCCAUGUCUCAGCCAGUUCCUACAUAAUAGCAAGGUCUUGACCACUGCAGCUGGAGGCUGGAUAUUGCUCUGUAAAGACAUUUAAUAAAAUCUUGCACAAAGAAAAGUAA